rnacentral:lncRNA from 1 species
AAAACGCAGGAAAAAGGAGGUGAGGAAGGUUGGGGUUUUGGCAUCUCGAGCUCUUCCACUUUAAAUCCACAUAUUUAAGCUUCAAAAACCAUCCCACUGAGGUAAGAAACUUGCUCCUUCCUUCUCUUUUUUUUUAAAAAAAGAAAUCUCAAAAUCCGGGUCUAAGUAUCCCAAAAUCACUAAACCGAGAGGAGAUACCGCAAAAAUUUUUCAAAAUGGUCAUAUAAUGGUUGGCUUCAUGCUCGAGAGCAUCGAUCCAAGCUCAAAUACUAGAAUUUUGGAUGUUCCGGAUCUAACCCCAAAACUCACACCUUAUUUAGUCCAAAAGUAAUCCAAUCAAAUGAUGUUUGUUUGGAAUGAUUUCUGGAAAUGACUUAGAGAAUGGUUUAUUCAACAUACAUACUAAAUUUCUUUUUCUUUUUUUUUGAGCUACUACUUGUUUUUAAAAUUAUUUAUACCGAAGUGCAAUGUAAAAAAUAUUAAAUAUAUAAAAUUCAUAAGUAAAAUCUCGUAUCAUGUUUGUAAUUAUGAUACUCGCAAGCUACUAAAUUUCAGAAAUAAUGGGAUAAAGUUCGGCAUGUUCAAGUUUUACUCAAGCCUAGGCUGGAAAAUUAAAUAAAUGGAAAAACGAACCCGACGAAUGUAUUAUAUAUAUCCGUCCAGUUCCUGUGUAUAUAAAGCCCAUCUACAAAAAAACCUGAGUUAAACUUAAUUUUCUUCCUUAUUCAUAAUUUCAAAAUUUAAUUAUUUACAUAAUAUUUCAAAUAUUAUAUAUGGUAUGAUAGCUAACCGUGGGCUAUAUUCUGAGUCUAAAAGUUUUUUUGCUUGCAAAAAAAUAUUAAUUUUUAGCAAAUUUUCAAACAAUUAUAUAAAAUAUAUUAGAAAUAUUAUACCUUAAAAAAUAUACUGGAAGUAUUAGAUAAUUGCAAAUUAAUAACCGAGAUAUCAUUUUCACGAGUAAACUCAUUUUUAUUUAAGAAUUAAUGUAUAACUAAUUAAAUAUAAAUAUAUAUGUUUAAAAAUAAGAAUUAAAACCUCAAAAUGAAAAGUAACUUGGUCGACCUCUGUACAUAAUGCAUAUAGGAAUUAAACAUUCAGAUAGAGCCGAGGAGAUAUGGAGGGUAUAUUCAGGAUUCUAGAGCAGGCCAGAGUGCUGCUUUCACAAUGGUCAUAUAAGGUUGAUCGGCUGAUACAGCACAAUCACCGCAUAAGGGACUACCAUGAACAUCAUUAUUAGUAUAUGACACUAGAGCAGCACUCAUAAUAGCAAAAAAGUGAGGGACUGUAUUAAGAUUUCGAACGAUAUGAUUUUGUUAUUGAUUGCUAUUACGUAUAUAUGUUUAUAUGCUAUUUUCUUGGAUGAUUAGUUCUACCUUGAGUCUUCUUUAGUGACUGAUGGAUCUAUCAGUUGUAAUUGUUGGUAUGCCCCUUCUUUACGGAUUUGUGGUUCUUAGCAAUCUAAUUAAUUUUCAAAUGCCAAUAUGGAUGCCUGUAUAUUAAUAUAAAGUUUGGAGUGUGUAAUAUAUCAUUUGUAUGAAAUAUGCGUAUUUGUAGUCUCAGCACAUACGUGAAACUGCAGCUAGGAUUAGUUAACUUGAUGUCCAUAUUUUAUUUUCUUUAAAAACACAGUAUUCA